rnacentral:rRNA from 1 species
AGUGAACGAUGGCGGCAGGCCUAACACAUGCAAGUCGAGCGGCAGCGCGUCCGACCACCCUCGGGUGGUCGGAUGGCGGCGAGCGGCGGACGGGUGAGGAAUGCAUCGGAAUCUGCCUCGUUGUGGGGGAUAACGUAGGGAAACUUACGCUAAUACCGCAUACGACCUACGGGUGAAAGUGGGGGACCUUCGGGCCUCACGCGAUGAGAUGAGCCGAUGCCGGAUUAGCUAGUUGGCGGGGUAAAGGCCCACCAAGGCGACGAUCCGUAGCUGGUCUGAGAGGAUGAUCAGCCACACUGGAACUGAGACACGGUCCAGACUCCUACGGGAGGCAGCAGUGGGGAAUAUUGGACAAUGGGGGGCAACCCUGAUCCAGCCAUGCCGCGUGUGUGAAGAAGGCCUCGGUUGUAAGACGUCUUCUAGCCGGGAGAAACGACAUGGGUUAUACCUCGUGUGGAGUGACGGUACCGGAAGUAAGAAG